rnacentral:lncRNA from 1 species
AUCGACGCCAUCCCCUCCGCCCCAUCGAUCACCAGUUCGCCGGCGGCUGCCUUCCUCUUCCCCGACCUGCGUUCUUCCCCACCCACCACCUGUGAUUGUAGGGUUGCCCCGUGGUGGUUGCCACUGGUUAUAGUCGUCGUCCAGCUAUCUCCAUCGGUCAGGCUGUCAGCGCGCUGGCCGCACCCAACAAGGCUCCCGAUUGUUGCCCUGGUCGAGCGGCUGCCAUCUGCCAGCCCGUCUGCUCUGGACGGCUGCCUCCAUCCUCGUUUGAAUGAUGUCAGCCUCUUCUGGGCCAUCAACACCUAAACCAGCUCGCAAGCGCAGGCAACCCGAGAGAGCUUUUAUACCUUCAGGUUAGCUCCAAG